rnacentral:rRNA from 1 species
GACAGAGGGUGCAAACGUUGUUCGGAAUUACUGGGCGUAAAGCGCGUGUAGGCGGCUAAGUAAGUCGGGCGUGAAAUCCCACGGCUCAACCGUGGAAGUGCACUCGAAACUGCAUAGCUAGAGUCCUGGAGAGGAAGGUGGAAUGCUUGGUGUAGAGGUGAAAUUCGUAGAUAUCAAGCGGAACACCGGUGGCGAAGGCGGGUCUCUGGGCAACAACUGACGCUGAGGAGCGAAAGCGUGGGGAGCGAACAGG